rnacentral:snoRNA from 1 species
ACGACCUUACUUGAACAGGAUCUGUUCUAUAGGCUAGUGGUACCACUGUAUCCUUGAGUUCUAAGGAGACAGAAAACCAAGUCUGACAGACUACUUAUUCUUUUUUGCUAUUUUUCCAGAAUUACUAUAACUUGAAAAUAACUAAGGACAUGGCCCUCGGGUCAUGGUGUAGUAGAUGAUCGUUCUCAGCUCCAACUAUGGUGCCUGGGAUGGUCUAAUGGCUGUCUGACAGACU